rnacentral:lncRNA from 1 species
CAUCACAGCUACAGAGACGCCAGAUCCAAGCUGCAUCUGUGACUUACACCACAGCUCAUGGCAACACCAGAUCCUUAACCCACUGAGUGAGGCCAGGGAUUGAACCCUCAUCCUCAUGGAUACUAUUUGGCUUCAUUACUGCUGAGCCACAAUGUGAAUUUCCUGGUCUAACUUUUAAAACAAAGAAAUAGGAAAAAAAAAUCACAAUGUAGAAAAUGAGUUGUAUUUUUAUUUCAGGCUCACGUUGAAUAUAAAUCUCUGGGAUUCCUGCUGAUAGUCCAGUGGUUAAUUUUACUGCGUCGAUAUCCAAGCCAACUAUUGUUAUGAUAAUCCCCUAUGUCUUAGAGCUUGAAACAGGGUAAGGAAAAGAGCAGAGCUGUGGACAGCACUGGGGUGGGACAGGCAGCUUGGCAAGGAUCCAUCCAGGAAGGGGAGGACAGGUCUGAGUGGGUGGGGAGGGGUGAGAAAGGUUACCGACCUUGCACGUCAGCUAGUUCUGCAGUGGCUGUGGAAGAAAGAGCCCCCUGCCUCACCCAGUUCCAGGUAGCCCAGUCUGCCAUCUAGGCCUUUCCUGGCAUGUGGCCUGCUUUCUGCUCCCUGUCCUUACCUUUCCAACCUAAUGCUCAGUUCAGCUAGUGUUCUUUCCUUGGGCCCUGCA